ACGGGGCAAGUCCCGUAGCUAACGCGUUAAGUCCUGCGCCUGGGGAGUACGGUCGCAAGACUGAAACUCAAAGGAAUUGACGGGGGCCCGCACAAGCGGUGGAACAUGUGGUUCAAUUCGACGCAACGCGAAGAACCUUACCUGGGCUUGAACCGCACAGGACCAUCUUUGGAAACAGAGACUUCCCGCAAGGGACCUGUGUAGAGGUGCUGCAUGGCUGUCGUCAGCUCGUGCCGUGAGGUGUUGGGUUAAGUCCCGCAACGAGCGCAACCCUUACUCAUAGUUGCCACCCGCAAGGGGGAACUCUAUGAGGACUGCUCCGGAUAACGGAGAGGAAGGUGGGGAUGAGGUCAAGUCAGCAUGGCCUUUAUGUCCAGGGCUACACACGUGUUACAAUGCGCGCCACAAAGCGUUGCAAACCCGCGAGGGGGAGCUAAUCGCAAAAAAGCGCGCUCAGUUCGGAUUGCAGUCUGCAACUCGACUGCAUGAAGCCGGAAUCGCUAGUAAUGGCGCAUCAGAACGGCGCCGUGAAUACGUUCCCGGGCCUUGUACACACCGCCCGUCACAUCACGAAAGUGGGUUGUACUAGAAAUCGCCGUG
rnacentral:rRNA from 1 species